rnacentral:rRNA from 1 species
AACGAACGCUGGCGGCAUGCCUAACACAUGCAAGUCGAACGAUUGCCUUCGGGUGAUAGUGGCGCACGGGUGCGUAACGCGUGGGAAUCUGCCCUUAGGUUCGGAAUAACAGCUGGAAACGGCUGCUAAUACCGGAUGAUAUCGCGAGAUCAAAGAUUUAUCGCCUGAGGAUGAGCCCGCGUUGGAUUAGGUAGUUGGUGGGGUAAAGGCCUACCAAGCCGACGAUCCAUAGCUGGUCUGAGAGGAUGAUCAGCCACACUGGGACUGAGACACGGCCCAGCCCCCUCGGGGGGGAGGGAGGGGGGAAUAUUGAAAAAGGGGCGAAAGCUUAACCCAGAAAUGCCGGGGGAGUGAUGAGGGCCUUGGGGUUGAAAAGCUCUUUUCCCCGGAAAGAUAAGGCCGUUCCGGGGAGAAAAACCCCCGCCUACCCCCGU